GUGAGUAGUUCAGAGUUUGAUCCUGGCUCAGGACGAACGCUGGCGGCGUGCCUAACACAUGCAAGUCGAACGGAGUUGUUCCUUCGGGGACAACUUAGUGGCGAACGGGUGAGUAACGCGUGAGGAACCUGCCUCUCAGUGGGGGACAACAGUUGGAAACGACUGCUAAUACCGCAUAAUAUUUCCGGACCGCAUGAUCUGGAAAUCAAAGCUUUAUGUGCUGAGAGAUGGCCUCGCGUCUGAUUAGCUAGUUGGCGGGGUAACGGCCCACCAAGGCGACGAUCAGUAGCCGGUCUGAGAGGAUGAACGGCCACAUUGGGACUGAGAUACGGCCCAG
rnacentral:rRNA from 1 species